rnacentral:rRNA from 1 species
GAAGGGUGCAAGCGUUACUCGGAAUUACUGGGCGUAAAGCGUGCGUAGGUGGUGAGUUAAGUCUGAUGUGAAAUCCCCGGGCUCAACCUGGGAAUGGCAUUGGAUACUGGCUCGCUGGGGUGCGGUAGAGGGUGGUGGAAUUCCCGGUGUAGCAGUGAAAUGCGUAGAGAUCGGGAGGAACAUCUGUGGCGAAGGCGGCCACCUGGACCAGCACUGACACUGAGGCACGAAAGCGUGGGGAGCAAACAGGAUUAGAUACCCUGGUAGUCCACGCCCUAAACGAUGCGAACUGGAUGUUGGGGGGAACUUGCCCUUCAGUAUCGAAGCUAACGCGUUAAGUUCGCCGCCUGGGGAGUACGGUCGCAAGACUG